AUUGAACGCUGGCGGCAGGCCUAACACAUGCAAGUCGAGCGAGCGGCGGACGGGUGAGUAAUGUCUGGGAAACUGCCUGAUGGAGGGGGAUAACUACUGGAAACGGUAGCUAAUAACGCAUACCAUCAGAUGUGCCCAGAUGGGAUUAGCUAGUAGGUGGGGUAACGGCUCACCUAGGCGACGAUCCCUCGCUGGUCUGAGAGGAUGACCAGCCACACUGGAACGGGGACACGGUCCAGACGCCUACGGAAGGCAGAGGUGGGGAAUAUUGCACAUUGGGCGCAAGCCUGAUGCACCCAGGCCGGGUGUAUGAAGAAGGCCUUCGGGUUGUAAAGUACUUUCAGCGGGGAGGCGUUACCCGCAGAAGAAGCACCGGCUAACUCCGUGCCAGCAGCCGCGGUAAUC
rnacentral:rRNA from 1 species